rnacentral:rRNA from 1 species
GCAUAUCAAUAAGCGGAGGAAAAGAAACCAACAGGGAUUGCCUUAGUAACGGCGAAGUGAAGCGGCAACAGCUCAAAUUUGAAAUCUGGCGUCUUCGGCGUCCGAAGUUGUAAUUUGCAGAGGGCGCUUUGGCAUUGGCAGCGGUCCAAGUUCCUUGGAACAGGACGUCACAGAGGGUGAGAAUCCCGUACGUGGUCGCUAGCCUUUACCGUGUAAAGCCCCUUCGACGAGUCGAGUUGUUUGGGAAUGCAGCUCUAAAUGGGAGGUAAAUUUCUUCUAAAGCUAAAUACUGGCCAGAGACCGAUAGCGCACAAGUAGAGUGAUCGAAAGAUGAAAAGCACUUUGGAAAGAGAGUUAAAAAGCACGUGAAAUUGUUGAAAGGGAAGCGCUUGCAGCCAGACUUGCCUGUAGUUGCUCAUCCGGGUUUCUACCCGGUGCACUCUUCUAUGGGCAGGCCAGCAUCAGUUUGGGCGGUUGGAUAAAGGUCUCUGUCAUGUACCUCUCUUCGGGGAGAACUUAUAGGGGAGACGUCAUGCAACCAGCCUGGACUGAGGUCCGCGCAUCUGCUAGGAUGCUGGCGUAAUGGCUGUAAGCGGCCCGUCUUGAAACACGGACCAAGGAGUCUAACAUCUAUGCGAGUGUUUGGGUGUCAAGCCCGAGCGCGUAAUGAAAGUGAACGGAGGUGGGAACCUUUCGGGGUGCACCAUCGACCGAUCCUGAUGUCUUCGGAUGGAUUUGAGUAAGAGCAUAGCUGUUGGGACCCGAAAGAUGGUGAACUAUGCUUGAAUAGGGUGAAGCCAGAGGAAACUCUGGUGGAGGCUCGCAGCGGUUCUGACGUGCAAAUCGAUCGUCAAAUUUGGGCAUAGGGGCGAAAGACUAAUCGAACUAUCUAGUAGCUGGUUCCUGCCGA